rnacentral:rRNA from 1 species
AUUGAACGCUGGCGGAAUGCUUUACACAUGCAAGUCGAGCGGCAGCGCGGGGCAACCUGGCGGCGAGCGGCGAACGGGUGAGUAAUACAUCGGAACGUACCCAGUUGUGGGGGAUAACACAUCGAAAGAUGUGCUAAUACCGCAUACGACCUGAGGGUGAAACCGGGGGAUCGCAAGACCUCGUCCGAUCGGAGCGGCCGAUGGCGGAUUAGCUAGUUGGUGGGGUAAGGGCCUACCCAGGCGACGAUCCGUAGCUGGUCUGAGAGGACGACCAGACACACUGGAACUGAGACACGGUCCAGACUACUACGGGAGGCAGCAGUGGGGAAUUUUGGACAAUGGGCGCAAGCCUGAUCCAGCCAUUCCGCGUGAGUGAAGAAGGCCUUCGGGUUGUAAAGCUCUUUCGGCAGGAACGAAACGGUGGGGGCUAAUAUCCUCUGCUAAUGACGGUACCUGAAGAAGAAGCACCGGCUAACUACGUGCCAGCCGCCGCCGUAAAAC